AAAGAUUUAGUUAAAAUAAUAACAUUAGCUUGUCGAGCUUAAGUUGCAUUACAGGCAAUUUUUA
rnacentral:tRNA from 1 species